rnacentral:rRNA from 1 species
ACCGUAGGUGAACCUACGGUAGGAUCAUUG